GUUCCUGUGUGAUGGGGCCGGAGCCAGUAAACAGGCUUCCUUCUCGCUCUGCUGUAUAAGAAGAAGAAGUAGGAGAAACAAAAUAAGGAGGAGAAGAAGUAAAAUAAUUUGAGAAGGAAUAUGAAGGGGCUGAAAUCCUGGGCUUUCUGGGCAGAAGGAUCUACGAGCGGGAUCGUGGGUGAAACAUGAAGAUGAUGGUGGACAGGUGAGCUACGCAGUUCGUGGAAGAACCAGGUCCCAUGGAGUUUCAUACAUUUUCCAGAGUUACAAAACCUGGCUAACACUGAGUCAAGUUAGGAAUCUCAAUCAAUGUCUUUGACCAACUUAAAGUGUUUGUAGAAUGUUUGAUGUACCUAAGAGUGAGUAAAAUGUGAAAGUCAGUUGCUGGAAUUGGUUGAAUGAGAGUGUCGGGUGAAGAAGGCAAGACAUGCAACAGAGGAAGAGGAAUGUGUCAUCCAAGAGGGGAAAAGAGAAAUACUAUUACUAUCUGUUGUCUUGGUGGUUCUCAUGAGGAGUGAAAGGAGAAUUGCUAACCUGGAAGAAGAUCAGAGAAACACACUAUACAGUCCUGCAGUCCUUCACCAAGUAGCAUGGGAUAGAAGCUCUGAACAUCAGCAUAAUUUUGAGGCCUAAAGUGUAAGAAUUGCUAGAAAUGCUGUGGUAUUAUUAAUUAAUUAAUUAAUUAAUAAUUAAUUUAUUUUUGUAUUAACUUAUUUUUAUUUAGAAAUGAUGGUAAAGAUGAUGAUGAUGAUGAUGAUGAUGCUUACAAUAACAGAUACUCAAGGUUAAAAAAUAAUUGUAAAAGUUCAAACUUACAUUAGAGUAAAAGUUAUCCUGGGUGCUGCAACCUUUGUCCAACAUGACUCAUGUAACCAAUAUUAACAGUGUAACCACAAAGCUUUGUAGUGGAAUACAUGUAGGCAAUUAUUUUUACCCAACAAGAUAUACUAGCAUUGGUUUUUCUCUGCCUCUGUUUCUGAUGAGUUGUUCAUACAAUAGAGGCUAGAUAGAAUAUUCAAGUCAAUAUAAUACAAACACAACUACCACUACAUAUGGGCUAGAAGCAGGAACCCCAUCACCCACCUAGAGAAUACAGAAGAAUUGAGAAAGUGAAGAGAAUAUUGUCAGGAUAUUGGAGAAGAGAUUUCUUUGGCGAUGAUGGGCACUCAAGUGAGAUAAUUAGCUUAGGGUCACCUAGGGUCCUAUAAAAAGGUAACCCAGCAGAUAAACACUGCAGGAGUAUUUAACGAUGCUCAGGGGCCUGAGAAAUGGUAAAAUUACACCAUCACCCAGGCCCACGGUGCUGCAUAUAUCACUACAUCUCAUCCCCUGCUGCCCCCCACACUGCAGCCAGAAGUUGUGAAAGGCGCGCAGGAGAGAGCAGAGAAGCAGCAGGACCUCCCCUCUAUCUCCACUGUCGGUGUCCCUACCGAACAGGGUCCUAGAUGGGUAGGAAGGAAGAAUUUAACACUGAGUCAAGUUGGGAAUUUCAAUUGAUAGUUUGACUGAUUAAAAGUGAUUGUAGAAAUGCCUGCAUUAUCGGGCGGGUGCGGUGGCUCACGCCUGUAAUCCCAGCACUUUGGGAGGCCGAGGCAGGAGAUCACGAGGUCAGGAGAUCGAGACCAUCCUGGCUAACAUGGUGAAACCCCUUCUCUACUAAAAAUACAAAAAAUUAGCUGGGCGUGGUAGCCGGCGCCUGUAGUCCCAGCUGCUUGGGAGGCUGUGGCAGGAGAAAGGCGUGAAUCCAGGAGGCGGAGCUUGCAGUGAGAUCGUGCCACUGUACUCCAGCCUGGGCAACAGAGCGAGACUCUGUCUCAAUAAAUAAAUAAAUAAAUAAAUAAAUAAAAAGAAAUGCCUGCAUUAUCUACAAGUGAGCAGAGAAGUACAAGUUUGUAGACUAGUUUUUAAAUUAGCUGGGAAAGAUAACUCCCUCAGAACAAAUCUUAAAGGGAGAGUAGGAAAUAUAUAUAAUAAAUCUAGUUUUUUGUUUGUUUGUUUUUUGAGACAGAGUCUCACUCUGUCGCCCAGGCUGGAGUGCAGUGGUGUGAUCUCUGUUCACUGCAACCUCCACCUCCCGGGUUCGAGCGAUUCUCCUGUCUCAGCCUCCUGAGUAAAUGGGAUUAUAGGCAGCCACCACCAUGCCCAGCUAAUUCUUGUAUUUUUAGUAGAGGAGAUGGGGUUUCACC
rnacentral:lncRNA from 1 species